rnacentral:lncRNA from 1 species
ACCUAAGCCGGUAGUAUAGGAACGACUUCCUACACUAAUCGAUGUGACCAUCUAGCAAUGGUACCCGACGUCCGAAUAGGCCGAAUAUAUGCGAAGCAAAUAUUUUGGAACCCUGAACUAUGGUUACUGUAUAAUUCAAUCCCUUUGACUCUUAAUGCCAGGAUGACUUAGAGCUCACUGUCAACCCUAUAAUUAGUACAUCCAUUAUGUGAUUAACUUUAGAUAUCCCGUGACUC